rnacentral:rRNA from 1 species
UACGGGGGGGGCAAGCGGUUGUUCGGAAUUACUGGGCGUAAAGGGCUCGUAGGCGGCCAACUAAGUCGGAUGUGAAAUCCCCAGGCUCAACUUGGGAACUGCAUCCGAUACUGGAUGGCUUGAAUUCGGGAGAGGGAUGCAGAAUUCCAGGUGUAGCGGUGAAAUGCGUAGAUAUCUGGAGGAAUACCGGUGGCGAAGGCGGCAUCCUGGACCGACAUUGACGCUGAGGAGCGAAAGCUAGGGGAGCAAACGGG